rnacentral:tRNA from 1 species
GGUAUCGCCAAGCGGUAAGGCACUGGCCUCUGACUCCAGUAUUCGUAGGUUCGAAUCCUGCUACC